rnacentral:rRNA from 1 species
CCCACCCCUCAAUCCCCACCAACCACCGCCCUCUCCACCAUCGUCGAGCACCUCCAUCAGCCACCCACCCGCUGGCGCCAACCCUGACGACCCAGGCGCACCCGAGACCCGGCGCCCCCAUCCAUCUACCUCCUCACUGCGUCGCGCCGCCGCGCCACCAAAGCGCUACCCGGCGAUGGAUCCAAGCCGGCAACCGCCCCAGCGUGCCUCCUGGCGGCGGAUCCGGGCCGGCAACUAUUCCCCUCCUCCCCCACGACUGGUUUCCUCUCCUUUGUGUCAAGAUCGACGGUGAGCUCACCGGCGCCUGCUCUCUGCCGACCUCCCCUUCCUCAUCUCCCUGCGAGGUUCCCAGCCACCCCGCCUCAGAUGCUUGCGUUGUUGUUGUUUAUUAUGUAGGUGUUCAGUGUAGAAGCCGGACGACGUGAUGCUGCUGUUACCGAUCUGCUGCAGCAUCUCUUGUUCGACUCCGAGAUCACUGGCGAUGAACACAAUCAGUUGUAGCGCAUGGCAUGGCGUUGGUGGGGAGAUACAAAGGGAAGAUGAUAAGGGAAGAUGAUAGGGGAUUACUCGAUAAGUAUGCGGAGGUGCUGUAAAGUUUCCUCCUUUAUGUAUAGUUAUUUGAUUAUCCAUCUAAAUAUCAUCCCAUGUAUAUGUAUGAAACUCAUUUUGUGCUGCU